UCAAACUUGGUCAUUUAGAGGAAGUAAAAGUCGUAACAAGGUUUCCGUAGGUGAACCUGCGGAAGGAUCAUUAUCGAGUUAGGGUCUUCUUCAGGCCCGAUCUCCCAACCCUCUGUCUAAGUACCGCUUGUUGCUUCGGUGGGCCCGUCUGUAUGACCGCUGGAGGACCGUUUAUCGUCCUCUGGCCCGCGCCUGCCGAUAGCCUACAUUUCAACUCUUGAAUACAACAAUGCCAUCUCUGAAUUAAGCAAAAAUAAAAGCAAAACUUUCAACAACGGAUCUCUUGGUUCUGGCAUCGAUGAAGAACGCAGC
rnacentral:misc_RNA from 1 species